AUUGAACGCUGGCGGCAUGCCUUACACAUGCAAGCCGAACGGCAGCACGGGUGCUUGCACCUGGUGGCGAGUGGCGAACGGGUGAGUAAUACAUCGGAACGUACCUUAUCGUGGGGGAUAACGCAGCGAAAGCUGUGCUAAUACCGCAUACGCCCUGAGGGGGAAAGCGGGGGAUCGCAAGACCUCGCGCGAUUAGAGCGGCCGAUGCCUGAUUAGCUUGUUGGUGGGGUAAAAGCCCACCAAGGCGACGAUCAGUAGCUGGUCUGAGAGGACGAUCAGCCACACUGGGACUGAGAAACGGCCCAGACUCCUACGGGAGGCAGCAGUGGGGAAUUUUGGACAAUGGGGGCAACCCUGAUCCAGCAAUGCCGCGUGAGUGAAGAAGGCCUUCGGGUUGUAAAGCUCUUUUGUCAGGGAAGAAAUCGCACAGGCUAAUACUCUGUGUGGAUGACGGUACCGGCAUAAGAAGCACCGGCUAACUACGUGCCAGCCGCCGCAGUAA
rnacentral:rRNA from 1 species